rnacentral:rRNA from 1 species
GACGAACGCUGGCGGCGUGCCUAAUACAUGCAAGUAGAACGCUGAAGAGAGGAGCUUACUCUUCUUGGAUGAGUUGCGAACGGGCGAGUAACGCGUAGGUAACCUGCCUUGUAGCGGGGGAUAACUAUUGGAAACGAUAGCUAAUACCGCAUAACAAUGGAUGACACAUGUCAUUUAUUUGAAAGGGGCAAUUGCUCCACUACAAGAUGGACCUGCGUUGUAUUAGCUAGUAGGUGAGGUAAUGGCUCACCUAGGCGACGAUACAUAGCCGACCUGAGAGGGUGAUCGGCCACACUGGGACUGAGACACGGCCCAGACUCCUACGGGAGGCAGCAGUAGGGAAUCUUCGGCAAUGGGGGCAACCCUGACCGAGCAACGCCGCGUGAGUGAAGAAGGUUUUCGGAUCGUAAAGCUCUGUUGUAAGUCAAGAACGGGUGUGAGAGUGGAAAGUUCACACUGUGACGGUAGCUUACCAGAAAGGGACGGCUAACUACGUG